AGAGCGAACGCUGGCGGCAGGCCUAAUACAUGCAAGUCGAACGGAUCCUUCGGGAUUAGUGGCGGACGGGUGAGUAACACGUGGGAACGUACCCUUUGGUUCGGAACAACUCAGGGAAACUUGAGCUAAUACCGAAUGUGCCCUUCGGGGAAAAGAUUUAUCGCCAUUGGAGCGGCCCGCGUCUGAUUAGCUAGUUGGUAGGGUAAAGGCCUACCAAGGCUACGAUCAGUAGCUGGUCUGAGAGGAUGAUCAGCCACACUGGGACUGAGACACGGCCCAGACUCCUACGGGAGGCAGCAGUAGGGAAUCUUGCGCAAUGGGCGAAAGCCUGACGCAGCCAUGCCGCGUGAAUGAUGAAGGUCUUAGGAUUGUAAAAUUCUUUCAGCGGGGACGAUAAUGACGGUACCGCAGAAGAACGCCCGGCUAACUUCGCGCCAGCAGCCGC
rnacentral:rRNA from 1 species